UCAGAGGCACAAUUACAUAGAGAAGGAAUGUGGAGUUUGUCUGGAAUUCUGGUUAUUUACUGAAUAUCUCUUGCCAAUUUUCUGCCUGGUGUCAGCCAAAAUGAGCAAUGGAAACAAUCAUGAUGUCACAAAGGCAUGGUCAGCACGAAGUCAGACCCAUCGUGGGUGCAGGUCACAGCUUGCAAGCAAGCAAGCUCCACUAGCAGAACAGAACUGUUGGGUGUGGCUGAGGGGAAUCUAGAACACAGGCAGAGGAGGGAGAGUAUAAAUAUCAACUAACGCUCAGCACCAAAUGCAGAAGUGGUGAACGCUGCUUGGUCUACCAUCCUCUUGCUAUGUGGCAUUGGUCAGAAUUUAGUCAUGUGGACAUACCAAACUGCAAAUGAGGCUGGGAAAUGAAUUGUAGCUACAUGCCCAGGAGGAAGGAGACUUGGCCUGAAUUAUUUCUUGCAGAAGAUCCAAAAACCUUCUGUUGGGGUCUGAAUUGGGACUCCUUUCCUGUAGCAUCUUUCUGGUGACCACUGAAGGGACUAUAGUGCAGAAAACCCCCACCCAAAGGCUAACUUUCGAUGCAGAACCCAUGGAAACAGAAGGGAAACUAAAUGUUAGAAUCUGAUCAUGUGAAGCUUUGGUCACCAAAGAAAUGAAUCAUAAUGCUAAUAAUGAGUUCCUGACUCAACCCUGAGGAUCUACCAAAAUUUUCCUCCUUUGUUCACCAGCUGAUGCCAGGUGUGGAGGGGCAGAAGGAAGAAGCAAAGUGGAGUAGGAAGUGUGAGAAUGUGCAUGUAAUCUACGCCUAUGCAGCACAUCCAGGCACGCCAGCUUCAACUCGCUUCAUCAUGAGAGACCAAAAAUAAACAUAAUGAAAUAGAGGACAUUCUCGCGCCUCAAAAAAUUGAACUAUCUUAAAAGGAAUAUUGUUAUUGCCUCCAGUUUACUUUUGAGAAAUGUGAGUCACAAAAAGUAAAACAACGUACUCAAGGUCACACCGCUGAGAAGUGUGUUAGGUGAGACAUCUUGAAGCUCUUCCUUCUCAUGCUGGAAAGGCUGUCAGAAAGUUCAAGUCCUCCUCUUGACAUAGUACAUGCCUAUUUGCUCAUUGGGAUAGGCUAACCUUUUCAAGCAAUGUGCGGCACCCCUUAGCUUCAAUAAAGUGUUCAAUGUAAGAAGAAUAUGCUCUGUAUCCAUAA
rnacentral:lncRNA from 1 species